rnacentral:rRNA from 1 species
UACGGGGGGAGCAAGCGUUGUUCGGAUUUACUGGGCGUAAAGGGCGCGUAGGCGGUCAGCACAAGUCAGUUGUGAAAUCUCCGGGCUUAACUCGGAAAGGUCAACUGAUACUGUGCGACUAGAGUGCGGAAGGGGCAACUGGAAUUCUUGGUGUAGCGGUGAAAUGCGUAGAUAUCAAGAGGAACACCUGCGGCGAAGGCGGGUUGCUGGGCCGACACUGACGCUGAGACCCGAAAGCAUGGGGAUCAAACAGG